GGGGAAUCUUGCACAAUGGGGGAAACCCUGAUGCAGCGACGCCGCGUGAGCGAUGAAGCCCUUCGGGGUGUAAAGCUCUUUCGACGGGAACGAUAAUGACGGUACCCGGAGAAGAAGCUGCGGCUAACUACGUGCCAGCAGCCGCGGUAAUACGUAGGCAGCAAACGUUGUUCGGAAUUACUGGGCGUAAAGAGUGUGUAGGCGGUUAGGUAAGUUUGGUGUGAAAUCUCCCGGCUUAACUGGGAGGGUGCGCCGAAAACUGCCUGGCUUGAGUACUGGAGAGGAUAGCGGAAUUCCUGGUGUAGCGGUGAAAUGCGUAGAUAUCAGGAGGAACACCUGCGGUGUAGACGGCUGUCUGGACAGUAACUGACGCUGAGACACGAAAGCGUGGGGAGCAAAC
rnacentral:rRNA from 1 species